UCUCAGUUUCCAUUACAGUUCGAGCUCUCUUACAGUCAGGAGCUCCAACUUUCAGAAAUUAUUUGUUUUACAAAAAAAUAAGAAAAAAUGUGAGAAAAAUACGUUUCGUGCUUAAAAUUAACCUUGUGACUUUUCAAGCGGUUGAGAAUUGUUUUAAAAAGAAAUUUCAAAUUGUGACAAGAAAUAAAUAUAUAUAAAUUUUUUGUUUAGUUCGUACCAAAUUUCGUUUCAAUGUCAAUGUCAGGAAGUGUGCAACUUAGAAAUGUUAGAUGAAAAUACACUCAAAAAAAAACGUUUGAACCCACAAUGUUAUACACAGGAGCACACAAUAAUCAAAACCCUGAUAAAUGGCGAUCUGCUUGGUGUAUUUGCGUUUUUGCUGACUUUAUAAAUCUUUGAUGCGACGGUACCACAGACCACAGACUUUUCAUAUGGUUUGCUGGAUUAGUCGAUCAAAGGCAAAUAUGAAUAAACUGUUUGUGGCACAAAUUCACCCUCCCAUCUGUAGAAAGAAAUAAAAAUACAAAUUAGAACAGAAACACAGAUUACACUUAACCAACACUACAAACUCCAGUGUUUACACACACACACGGACACUGAACACACAGCACACACACAUACUCAAUUCUCAGACGUUUCGAUUUCUUCGUCGAUGCUUAUUUAUAUGCAUCUUUCAUGCUCGCUCUGUACAUAGCCAUAUGUAUUAGGAAAACGCAUCUAAAUAACAUAAAAAAAUAACCAACAAACCCAAAAAGCCCCCAAAAAAAAAGCAACGAGCAACUGCAACAAAAAUCGUGUUUUUUGUGUUUACACUUAAACUUACUUUUAUUUUUGUGUUCGCCCAUAUCGUCGUUGUCGCACAUCAGGAAGUAAGCUUCGUUAAUUAACAUUGUCGCGGUUGGUUUCCAAAAUAUCUGCCCGCUUAACAAUACAAUAAUAUUUUGGACGCAAUCGCCUCGUGCAUCGCCAUAAAGGGGGUAAGCUCUAAUCGUUUAAAUACAGUUCUUGCACGGAAUCCAGUUGAACAGGAUCAUGAGGGUUGCGCGUCACUGUAUUAUCAGAAGCUGCAUAUUUGUUUGUUCUAUUAAUCGUCUAUCAAAAUAAAACCACAGAUGCAACAAACACAUUCUUAUUUCGGUUAAUUUGUGGGUUUAAAGUUUAAGGCUGAGCUCGAACAAAUUGAGAAAAGGAGGUACCUCUCGUUACUUUUUGCUACUCGAACUAUACUGAAUCGAUUAGGUUUUGCCCUGCCAAAUGUGGCCCGCUCAACAUAAUUGUUCAAAGUUUGGAAUUCAGUAGAGGCAAGUGACAUCUAUUUUUCUGACUAGUUCUUAACAUACAUGAGAUGUGCUCAAACAAGAUUUCGAUAUCAGCGGCACCAGCUGUCGACCUUCGGGAUCAAACUAGUACAGCGCGGGCAAUAGAAGGACCUACAUUCCCUAGCUCUUGGCUCUGAGAACCUUGCGUUCAAACGAACAUGACAAGAUCGACUCGGCUAUUGAUACUGAUCAAGAAUAUAUACUUUCUGGGCUCAAAGAUGUGCUCCUUCCGACUGCUCUACUUUCCCAAAUUAUUUAGAUACUCUCAACUUCUCGGUACUCGUUACUUUCGGGUACUCGGUUAUUUUCGGUGCUCGUUACUUUUCCGUACUCUACUUUUGGGUACUCGUUAGUACUGGUUAAUUUUCAGUAAUUUUUACUUUUGGGUAUUCGUUAGUUUAAGGGGCCCGUUACUUUCCAGUACUCUACGGUUACUCGUUACUUUUGGGUACUCGUUACCACGACUGCUUUACUCUCUAUUAGUUGCGCUUCAGUUUUGUCUUCUCGUCACUCUGACUAAUUACAUUCACCCCAAAUUUAUUAAGCUACUCGUUACUUUUGGGUACCCUGAGAUACUAAAGACGUUACAGAUAUAUACUCGAAGUCCGUAAGUUGGCCAUGUUAAUAGAAUUCGAUUCUGUACAGCCAGGGCAGGCCUUGAAAUCGACAUAAAUGUGAAUGAGCCCAGGCGAAAGGCAAACAGAUUCAUUCCAGUUGGAGCUCCACUGGAGCCAACAGCUCUAGUUUUCUAAAUUGUUGUAUAAAUUUCAAAAUUUGUUCUGCUUUUUCUCUUUGUUUAUUUCUGUUGAGAGAAACAAAUAAAAUCAAAAAGUGCAAAAAUUCAAUUUGUUUCAAAGUUUCUCUUCAAUCAAUGUGAAAUUUUCAAAAAGUGUUGCAAAAUUACGUUCAGAAGCGGUUUGUGUGUUCGUGUGAAUGGGUGUGAACACAAUGAUGUUGUCACAGAUGCUCUUUGUACACGGCGCAAAAUUUUAAAUGCUCAAACAGAAGUCCAGAUCAAAAGUUUUACGCGUUUCUAUUUAUUUCUAACAACCAAAUAAUCGUAUUUCGUAACCAAGAAGGGAUUUGUUGUGAUUGUUUAUUUCACAAUUCUUAACUUUCAAUGUAUAUUCGCCCAGAGAAUCGGAAACUCUCGGAAUUGAUUGCCCAGCCCAAGGGGUACUCGUUGUCCUUUACAAUUUGCAAGACUCUCAAUGUGUGUCACAAGUUAUAUUCUGAUCAUUCAAUUCAGCAACCAAAAUAUAAAUGAGAAAUUCAAAAUUGUAAUUCAAAAAGCAAUUUUCUAAGCUCGACUUUGAGCUUCUUAUAAAGGAAAAAUCGUAACAGAAAUUAAUAAAAAAAAUAGAUGGAUCAUAUCGUAACGGAAGAAGGUAAGGCCAAGCAACUCUCUAUGCGGAAGGUUCUACUCGAAAUU